GUGAGGAAUAUUGGUCAAUGGGCGAGAGCCUGAACCAGCCAAGUAGCGUGAGGGAUGACUGCCCUAUGGGUUGUAAACCUCUUUUGCAGGGGGGUAAAGUGGUCCACGUGUGGAUCAUUGCAAGUACCCUGCGAAUAAGGAUCGGCUAACUCCGUGCCAGCAGCCGCGGUAAUACGGAGGAUCCGAGCGUUAUCCGGAUUUAUUGGGUUUAAAGGGAGCGUAGGCGGGGGUUUAAGUCAGCUGUGAAAUGCCGUGGCCCAACCAUGGAACUGCAGUUGAAACUGGACCUCUUGAGAGUACAUAAGGAAGGCGGAAUUCGUGGUGUAGCGGUGAAAUGCAUAGAUAUCACGAAGAACUCCGAUUGCGAAGGCAGCUUUCCGGGGUACAUCUGACGCUGAAGCUCGAAAGUGCGGGAAUCAAACAGGAUUAGAAACCCGUGUAGUCC
rnacentral:rRNA from 1 species